rfam:Rattus norvegicus chromosome 8, whole genome shotgun sequence.
UUGGAUUUAGCUCAGUGGUAGAGCGCUUGCCUUGGAAGCGCAAGGCCCUGGGUUCGGUCCCCAGCUCCAAA